UGUUUCGGCAAGGGGGUCAUCCCGACUUACCAACCCGAUGCAAACUGCGAAUACCGGAGAAUGUUAUCACGGGAGACACACGGCGGGUGCUAACGUCCGUCGUGAAGAGGGAAACAACCCAGACCGCCAGCUAAGGUCCCAAAGUCAUGGUUAAGUGGGAAACGAUGUGGGAAGGCCCAGACAGCCAGGAUGUUGGCUUAGAAGCAGCCAUCAUUUAAAGAAAGCGUAAUAGCUCACUGGUCGAGUCGGCCUGCGCGGAAGAUGUAACGGGGCUAAACCAUGCACCGAAGCUGCGGCAGCGACACUAUGUGUUGUUGGGUAGGGGAGCGUUCUGUAAGCCUGUGAAGGUGUGCUGUGAGGCAUGCUGGAGGUAUCAGAAGUGCGAAUGCUGACAUAAGUAACGAUAAAGCGGGUGAAAAGCCCGCUCGCCGGAAGACCAAGGGUUCCUGUCCAACGUUAAUCGGGGCAGGGUGAGUCGACCCCUAAGGCGAGGCCGAAAGGCGUAGUCGAUGGGAAACAGGUUAAUAUUCCUGUACUUGGUGUUACUGCGAAGGGGGGACGGAGAAGGCUAUGUUGGCCGGGCGACGGUUGUCCCGGUUUAAGCGUGUAGGCUGGUUUUCCAGGCAAAUCCGGAAAAUCAAGGCUGAGGCGUGAUGACGAGGCACUACGGUGCUGAAGCAACAAAUGCCCUGCUUCCAGGAAAAGCCUCUAAGCAUCAGGUAACAUUAAAUCGUACCCCAAACCGACACAGGUGGUCAGGUAGAGAAUACCAAGGCGCUUGAGAGAACUCGGGUGAAGGAACUAGGCAAAAUGGUGCCGUAACUUCGGGAGAAGGCACGCUGAUAUGUAGGUGAAGUCCCUCGCGGAUGGAGCUGAAAUCAGUCGAAGAUACCAGCUGGCUGCAACUGUUUAUUAAAAACACAGCACUGUGCAAACACGAAAGUGGACGUAUACGGUGUGACGCCUGCCCGGUGCCGGAAGGUUAAUUGAUGGGGUUAGCGGUAACGCGAAGCUCUUGAUCGAAGCCCCGGUAAACGGCGGCCGUAACUAUAACGGUCCUAAGGUAGCGAAAUUCCUUGUCGGGUAAGUUCCGACCUGCACGAAUGGCGUAAUGAUGGCCAGGCUGUCUCCACCCGAGACUCAGUGAAAUUGAACUCGCUGUGAAGAUGCAGUGUACCCGCGGCAAGACGGAAAGACCCCGUGAACCUUUACUAUAGCUUGACACUGAACAUUGAGCCUUGAUGUGUAGGAUAGGUGGGAGGCUUUGAAGUGUGGACGCCAGUCUGCAUGGAGCCGACCUUGAAAUACCACCCUUUAAUGUUU
rnacentral:rRNA from 1 species